rnacentral:tmRNA from 1 species
GGGGGCGACCUGGUUUCGACAGGGGUAGCGAAGCGGCUCAGGGCAUGCCGAGGACCCGUCACCUCGUUAAUCAAUGGGAAAAACGUAACUGCAAACGACGAUACGUUCGCACUGGCAGCCUAAGGGCCGCCGUCCUCGUACUAGCUCGCUGACGGGCUAGGGUCGCAAGACCACGCGAGGUCAUAUACGUCAGAUAAGCCUGCGUGGCGUCACGACGCGUGGGACGAAAACUUAGUGAAUCGCCGUCCGGCAGCGUGUUCGUCCGCGUCCGUCCGGUUAAAUCAAAUGACUGAACUAAGCAUGUAGAACUGGUCGUAGAGUACUUCUGGACGCGGGUUCGAUUCCCGCCGCCUCCACCA